AUUUAACCUCUCUGUGCCUCAACUUCUUCAUGUAAACUGGCAGUAAUAAUAAUACGAAUGCCACAGAGCUGUGGAUGAAAUGAGCCCAUUCCGGUCUGGCUUCUUUAACCAGGAAGAUGUGGGCUGAGAGCUGUGGAGUAGAUGUCUUCACCAGAUGAGUACACAGAGAAGUAGAGAAUGUGUAUCUGCAGAGUAGGAUGAAGCAGAGACAAGGUGGGAUGGGAGAGAGACAGGGGCUGCAGGACAACCCUACCAUCAAUACACCCAACAGUCGCCAUCCUACCCCACUUAUUUAUUCACUUAGUAACACUAAUUACUCUCUAAAAAUACUUGACUAUUUAUUUGUGUAUCUACACCCACAGGAAUGGAUGUAAGUGCUAUGAGGGCAGGAAGAUUGUUUUUCCUACCACUGAAUUCCCAGGACCUCAAUCAAUGCUUGGUAUAUAGUGGGCACUCCAUAAACAUUGGCCGAAUAAAUGAAUUCUAUUUACUUGUUCACAAUUGUAGGGGAGGAAAAAAUUAUGUUCCUUCUAUCCAUCUUAAAUUCAUUGGCUGAGGCCCCA
rnacentral:lncRNA from 1 species